rnacentral:lncRNA from 1 species
UUUUUUUUUAAUGGGAGAUGGGCUGCUGUCAUCUUAAUUUUUGAGGAGUGAGGAAUGGGCCGAUUUUUGUGAAAAAGUAUAGAGAGAUGGGCCACUUUUUUUUGUGAAAGGAAAAAAAUAGUGGGUCUUGGGUUUUUUUUUUUGUGUAAAGAAGAAAUGGGAGAUGGGCUUUUCUUUUUCUAAUGGGAGAUGGGCUUUUUUUUAAAUGGG